UACGUAGGCAGCAAGCGUUGUUCGGAGUUACUGGGCGUAAAGGGUGUGUAGGCGGUCUUCUAUGUUUGGUGUGAAAUCUCCCGGCUCAACUGGGAGGGUGCGCCGAAAACUGGAAGGCUAGAGUACUGGAUGGGAGAGUGGAAUUCCUGGUGUAGCGGUGAAAUGCGUAGAUAUCAGGAGGAACACCUGUGGUGUAGACGGCUCUCUGGACAGUAACUGACGCUGAGACACGAAAGCGUGGGUAGCAAACAGG
rnacentral:rRNA from 1 species